rnacentral:rRNA from 1 species
UACGGGGGGGGCAAGCGUUGUUCGGAAUUACUGGGCGUAAAGGGCUCGUAGGCGGCCAACUAAGUCGGACGUGAAAUCCCCAGGCUCAACCUGGGAACUGCGUCCGAUACUGGAUGGCUUGAAUUCGGGAGAGGGAUGCAGAAUUCCAGGUGUAGCGGUGAAAUGCGUAGAUAUCUGGAGGAAUACCGGUGGCGAAGGCGGCAUCCUGGACCGACAUUGACGCUGAGGAGCGAAAGCGAGGGGAGCAAACGGG